rnacentral:sRNA from 1 species
CAGGUCUCCGAGCGUGAUUUUAACCUUUUUUGCACAGCAGUCUCUGCAAUUAGCUCACCGACCUUCAACUUUGCUGUAAACCUUUUGGUUUUCCUACUUACUCUUCUUCUGUGGAGUUAUCCUCCUACAAUUCCCCUCCCCCUCGUCUUUCUCUUACCUCCUACUUCUCUUUCUUGUAAUGAAACUCUUCACUUUUAGGAGACCUGGGCAGUCCUGUCAGGCAGCAGCGAUUCCGACCCGCCAAGUCUCGGCCUCCACAUUAACCAUAGGAUGUUGACUCUAGAACCUGGACCCACCCAGCGCGUCCUUUCUUAUCCCCGAGUGGAUGGAUGGAUGGAUGGAUGCCUACUCAAAGUGAAGACAAUGAGGAUGAGGACUUUAUGAUGAUCCACUUUCACUUAAUGAACAAUCCAAGGAAACUUUACUGUAGUGGAAAGAGCUCCAGACUGGAAGAAAUAUAAAAUUUACCUGGGACUACUUCUUCUCCUCACCCCCACCAAGGACAUAUCAGAAUCUCCAAGGCAGGGUUCUGAGAAUGAAGCGAGUUACCUCAAAGUGUCAAAAUCAGACUGAUUUGGUUGGAGGCCAACUUGGACUAGUCUAUAUGAAAAGUGAGCAUCUUAGGGAUCCAAGGCAUUCAGUGCAAAACCUGGCCAGCAGCCCGAGUGAGUAGGAGCCAUGUGACUCUGGUGAGUUGGAGUGUGCAAUUGCCUCCUGCUUCAGAGCUACCUGAUCCGAAUACUAAGCAGAGCGAGUGUCGGGCUUGUAAGACACUGAAGACACUGCAGAGCAAGGUGCUUAUUCCAGAGGCGUUACAAAACAUGGAGAUUAAAGACCAGGGAGCCCAAAUGGAGCCGCUGCUGCCUACG